rnacentral:misc_RNA from 1 species
AGCAGCCGCGGUAAUUCCAGCUCCAAUAGCGUAUAUUAAAGUUGUUGCAGUUAAAAAGCUCGUAGUUGAAUUUCGGGAUUGGCGCAUCGGUCGUGCCUCACGGGGUAUGAACUGGUGCAGUCAAUUUCUCACCUUCUGGAGAACCGCGAUGUCCUUAAUUGGAUGCCGCGGGGAACCAGGACCUUUACUUUGAAAAAUUAGAGUGUUUAAAGCAGGCAUUUUUGCUUGAAUACAUUAGCAUGGAAUAAUAAAAUAGGACGGCAUGGUUCUAUUUUGUUGGUUUCUAGGACCACCGUAAUGAUUAAUAGGGAUAGUUGGGGGCAUUAGUAUUCAAUUGUCAGAGGUGAAAUUCUUGGAUUUAUUGAAGACUAACUACUGCGAAAGCAUUUGCCAAGGAUGUUUUCAUUAAUCAAGAACGAAAGUUAGGGGAUCGAAGACGAUCAGAUACCGUCGUAGUCUUAACCAUAAACUAUGCCGACUAGGAAUCAGACGAUGUUAAUUUUUAAUAGUACUCGUUGGU